rnacentral:rRNA from 1 species
AGAGUUUGAUCAUGGCUCAGGACGAACGCUGGCGGCGUGCCUAAUACAUGCAAGUAGAACGCUGAAGGGAGGAGCUUGCUCUUCUUGGAUGAGUUGCGAACGGGUGAGUAACGCGUAGGUAACCUGCCUUGUAGCGGGGGAUAACUAUUGGAAACGAUAGCUAAUACCGCAUAACAAUGGAUGACACAUGUCAUUUAUUUGAAAGGGGCAAUUGUUCCACUACAAGAUGGACCUGCGUUGUAUUAGCUAGUAGGUGAGGUAAUGGCUCACCUAGGCGACGAUACAUAGCCGACCUGAGAGGGUGAUCGGCCACACUGGGACUGAGACACGGCCCAGACUCCUACGGGAGGCAGCAGUAGGGAAUCUUCGGCAAUGGGGGCAACCCUGACCGAGCAACGCCGCGUGAGUGAAGAAGGUUUUCGGAUCGUAAAGCUCUGUUGUAAGUCAAGAACGGGUGUGAGAGUGGAAAGUUCACACUGUGACGGUAGCUUACCAGAAAGGGACGGCUAACUACGUGCCAGCAGCCGCGGUAAUACGUAGGUCCCGAGCGUUGUCCGGAUUUAUUGGGCGUAAAGCGAGCGCAGGCGGUUUGAUAAGUCUGAAGUUAAAGGCUGUGGCUCAACCAUAGUUCGCUUUGGAAACUGUCAAACUUGAGUGCAGAAGGGGAGAGUGGAAUUCCAUGUGUAGCGGUGAAAUGCGUAGAUAUAUGGAGGAACACCGGUGGCGAAAGCGGCUCUCUGGUCUGUAACUGACGCUGAGGCUCGAAAGCGUGGGGAGCGAACAGGAUUAGGUACCCUGGUAGUCCACGCCGUAAACGAUGAGUGCUAGGUGUUGGAUCCUUUCCGGGAUUCAGUGCCGCAGCUAACGCAUUAAGCACUCCGCCUGGGGAGUACGACCGCAAGGUUGAAACUCAAAGGAAUUGACGGGGGCCCGCACAAGCGGUGGAGCAUGUGGUUUAAUUCGAAGCAACGCGAAGAACCUUACCAGGUCUUGACAUCCCGAUGCUAUUUCUAGAGAUAGAAAGUUACUUCGGUACAUCGGUGACAGGUGGUGCAUGGUUGUCGUCAGCUCGUGUCGUGAGAUGUUGGGUUAAGUCCCGCAACGAGCGCAACCCCUAUUGUUAGUUGCCAUCAUUCAGUUGGGCACUCUAGCGAGACUGCCGGUAAUAAACCGGAGGAAGGUGGGGAUGACGUCAAAUCAUCAUGCCCCUUAUGACCCGGGCUACACACGUGCUACAAUGGUUGGUACAACGAGUUGCGAGUCGGUGACGGCGAGCUAAUCUCUUAAAGCCAAUCUCAGUUCGGAUUGUAGGCUGCAACCCGCCUACAUGAAGUCGGAAUCGCUAGUAAUCGCGGAUCAGCACGCCGCGGUGAAUACGUUCCCGGGCCUUGUACACACCGCCCGUCACACCACGAGAGUUUGUAACACCCGAAGUCGGUGAGGUAACCUUUUGGAGCCAGCCGCCUAAGGUGGGACAGAUGAUUGGGGUGAAGUCGUAACAAGGUA